rnacentral:lncRNA from 8 species
AUGAGGACAAUGGAGGGAAUUACACAGGAAAUUUAUCCAAGACCAGAUCAGGAAUUCCCUGCGGACUGUGGGCAAAUCAUAGCAGCAGUGGAGAAUCCAGCGUGGGUUUGGAGAGGAACCUGUGCAGGAAUCCCGACCAGGAUAAGCACGGUCCCUGGUGUCACACUACGGACCCCUCCAUCCCAUGGGACUACUGCAAGCUCAAACGCUGUGAUAAGUCUCCGAACAUCUCUGCCCACCCAAGAAGCAUCUCUCUCGUGUCUAAGACAUCCUGCUUCAUCCACAAGACCACUCGGAUUGUUGGAGGAGCCCAGGUCCACAAGGCUAAGGAUGGUAGCUGGGUUGUCAGCAUCCAGAAAGGGUAAGAGCCCUCCUCUACACAGGAACACCACUGCCAAAUGCACAGGAACACCCCUACUGAAUGCACAGGAACACCCCUACUGAAUGCACAGAAACACUCCUACUGAAUGCACAGAAACCCCACUACUGAAUGCACCGGAACACCACUACGGAAUGCACCGGAACACCACUACUGAAUGCACCGGAACACCACUACUGAAUGCACCGGAACACCGCUACUGAAUGCACAGGAACAUCUCUACUGAAUGCACAGGAACACCACUACUGAAUGCACCGGAACACCGCUACUGAAUGCACAGGAACACCCCUACUGAAUGCACAGGAACACCACUACUGAAUGCGUGACUGACCUGGGUUUGAACCCACGUCUCUUGCGCAGGACAGAGUUAGCCAAUAGAGCUAAAAGGCAUUAGCUAUGGGAGCUAACAUAAGUCUUAGGUUAGCCAGCUGUGCUGAAGUCUAGACAUUGAGGUCUCAGGCCGAGUGACUCAUCACAAAAGCAUGGUACACCUAGUUUGAGUCUUCUGUCAGUUUGCAAGGCAAACAAGUGCUCCCGCUAUAUCAUUUUGCGCUAAACACCUUUCAGCAAAGUGCCAUUUUGUUAUUGCUCUGAAGAUGAAGUCCUUAAAGUGUAUUCGUUUUGGCAGCCCUAUGUUUGUGCUAGAAGACAGC